AUUGAACGCUGGCGGCAUGCCUAACACAUGCAAGUCGAACGGCAGCACAGUGUGUAGCAAUACACAUGGGUGGCGAGUGGCGGACGGGUGAGUAAUGCUUAGGAAUCUGCCCAAUGGUGGGGGAUAACUAACCGAAAGGUUAGCUAAUACCGCAUACGCCUUUACGGGGAAAGCGGGGGAUCGAAAGACCUCGCGCCGAUGGAUGAGCCUAAGUCCGAUUAGCUAGUUGGUGGGGUAACGGCCCACCAAGGCGACGAUCGGUAGCUGGUCUGAGAGGACGGCCAGCCACACUGGAACUGAGACACGGUCCAGACUCCUACGGGAGGCAGCAGUGGGGAAUAUUGGACAAUGGGGGCAACCCUGAUCCAGCAAUGCCGCGUGUGUGAAGAAGGCCUGCGGGUUGUAAAGCACUUUCGGUUGGGAAGAAAAGUCCGGCGCCAAUACCGCCGGGCCUUGACGUUACUGACAGAAGAAGCACCGGCUAACUCUGUGCCAGCAGCCGCGGUAAUACAGAGGGUGCAAGCGUUAAUCGGAAUCACUGGGCGUAAAGCGUGCGUAGGUGGUCAUGCAAGUCGGGUGUGAAAUCCCCGGGCUUAACCUGGGAACUGCAUUCGAUACUACAUGGCUAGAGUAUGGUAGAGG
rnacentral:rRNA from 1 species